CGAAAGAGGAAGGUCCUUUGCCAGGAGACAUGAGAGGACGCGAACUUGCAUACAGACUUGGGAGCAAAGUUUGUGGGUCCAACUUCCAUAAAGCAAUUGCCACUACUGGAAAAAUCUAGAUUAUAUAUUUCAAAGAAGUAUCAACAUUAUAAAAUGCAGAAAUGUUCUUUCUCUAAAGUAUGGACACCUUAACGAAACCUGACAUACUGCAUGUUUGUCUUUUAUUUUAUUAAAAGAAAUCAGUCAUAAAAUGAAGAUUCCUAAACCAAAA